GCAGUGGCGGCUGCUUACCAUGCAAGUCGAACGUGAAGCUAGAGCAAUCUAGCUGAAAGUGGCGGACGGGUGAGUAACACGUGGGUGACCUGCCUCGAAGUGGGGGAUAACCAUGGGAAACCGUGGCUAAUACCGCAUGUGCUUAGCAGACUUGGCGUCUGCUAAGUAAAGCUUUAGUGCUUCGAGAGGGGCCUGCGCCCGAUUAGGUAGUUGGUGAGGUAAUGGCUCACCAAGCCGAUGAUCGGUAGCUGGUCUGAGAGGACGAUCAGCCACACGGGAACUGAGAUACGGUCCCGACUCCUACGGGGGGCAGCAGUGAGGAAUAUUGGGCAAUGGACGCAAGUCUGACCCAGCAACGCCGCGUGGAGGAUGAAGGUUCUUGGAUCGUAAACUCCUUUUGCAGGGGAAAAGUAAGGAUGGUACCCUGAGAAUAAGUCACGGCUAACUACGUGCCAGCAGCCGCGGUAAUACGUAGGUGACAAGCGUUAUCCGGAUUUAUUGGGCGUAAAGCGCACGCAGGCGGCAGCCUAAGUCUGACGUGAAAUCUCUCGGCUUAACCGGGAGCGGUCGUUGGAAACUAGGCAGCUUGAGGCAAUGAGAGGGGUGUGGAAUUCCCGGUGUAGUGGUGGAAUGCGUAGAUAUCGGGAGGAACAUCAGUGGCGAAAGCGGCACCCUGGCAUUAGCCUGACGCUCAGGUGCGAAAGCGUGGGGAGCAAACGGGAUUAGAUACCCCGGUAGUCCACGCUGUAAACGAUGAAUACUAGGUGUGGGUAGUCUCAAAAUUAUCCGUGCCGAAGCAAACGCGAUAAGUAUUCCGCCUGGGGAGUACGGCCGCAAGGCUAAAACUUAAAGGAAUUGACGG
rnacentral:rRNA from 1 species